CCUGCAUUAAAAGGUGGUAUCAGGAGGAGACCUUGGAGGCACUUCUGCCAGAGACAGGGGCUGCUGGAUUCUCCAGGAGGUGAUGGGAGAAGAAAGCCAGGCUCUUCUGUGGGUGUCAUCUGCCAGGCCCUGGCCCUAACAGUGUCCCAGUUAGCAUCCUUCUUGAACCCAAGGGCCCAUGUGGAAUUUGGACACUGAUGCCAGCCUGGACUGAACCUGAAUAUUCAGUGACCCCAUCUGGACAUUGAGAUCUGAAUUCUGGAUUUUCCCAUUCAAGAAUCUGUUCUCCAGGCAGACUACAGGCCCGACUCCAGACCUGCACUUUCUGAGCUUCCUCCAUCACCCCUCCUCAGCCCCGUCCCAUUGCUGAGACCCAGCAUGACUUGCAGCCUGGUGCUCACAGCUGUGACACCUUUGGGGCCCCCAUACCCCCAAACACUAGGGCACUUGCCCAAAGCCACAAAGUCAGCAAGUAGUUAGGUUUGGAUUCAAACUGAAGUCUGUCUCCAAAACCACAUCCUUUCAACUAUUCCCUGUGGCUUCCCCCAUUCUCCCCAAAGGUCUACAUUUAAUCCUCAGGACUCCAAGAUCAAGCCCAGGGCAGUUCCACUUCUCCUUGGCAAUAUAGAGUAAGACCAAGAAUGCCAAGUCUCCAUCCUUGGGGAUAUUCUCAUCCUCCAGGAAAGAAGUAGAAGGGAAGCAGUGCCCAGGCUGGCUGUCCGGGUAAGCCCAGCAAGCUGAGCUGCAGCUCAUGGACUUUGGCUAAUUUGUUAUUAAUUCCUUAGGAGCACAGAACAACCCUAACAAGAUGCAAAAAUCAGUAGCUGAGGGAAAGACAAAGCAGCUUUCUGAGCACAAUGUGAGGGAGGAAAGUGGUUUUUAAAAGAUGUUGAC
rnacentral:lncRNA from 10 species